GUGUGAUGUCAUCAGGUCAGUGUGUGAUGUCAUCAGGUCAGUGUGUGAUGUCAUAAGGUCAAUGUGUGAUGUCAUAAGGUCAAUGUGUGAUGUCAUAAGGUGGAUAUUACUGUCUGAGAGUUUGUUAAAGUGAAAUGAGACAUUCAAAGAUGCAGCAGUGAGACUACAGGGAGACACUGAGGACGAGUAUCUACGGAGAGCCUGAAGGGACAAACAGGAGAAUAAUGUGAUGAACUCGUUAAUGCUGACAGCGCUACUU